rnacentral:rRNA from 1 species
AACCAAGAGCAUACGGUGGAUGCCUAGGGUCUUUGAGGCGAUGAAGGACGUUGCGUGGCGACGAAAACUUCGGGGAGGCGCUUAGCGGCCUUUGAUCCGGAGGUCUCCGAAUGGGGCAACCCCUUGCUGACAAAUCAGCAAGAUCCCAAUUUCAUAUUGGGAAGCAUACCCAGGGAAGUGAAACAUCUCAUUACCUGGAGGAAAAUAGAACAAUCUUGCCUGCGCAAGCAGGUGUUAUUCCUUUAGUAGCGGCGAGCGAAAAAGGAAAAGCCCAAACUCAGCUUUAAUUCCAGUAUACCAAUAGUGGUAUUUUGGAAGAGGAAGAGUUACAAAACGCUUGGUUAGUAGAAUCCGUUGGAAAGCGGAGCCAAAGAAGGUGAAAGCCCUGUAAACGAAAACUUUGCGUCUCUUUAGCUGCUGUUCUUGAGUACUUCAGGACACGAAUGGCCUGGAGGAAUUUGCCGGAACUAACCGGUAAGGCUAAAUACUUAAAGACACCGAUAGUGAACAAGUACCGUGAGGGAAAGGUGAAAAACACCCCGGAAGGGGAGUGAAAUAGAUCUGAAACCGUAUGCUUACAAAGAGUCGGAGCCCGAUCCGCAAGGGUCUAGGGUGACGGCGUGCCUAUUGAAGAAUGAGCCAACGAGUUUAUCCCAAUCCUUUGUCUAAUCCACCUUAGGUGGAGAAGGCGUAGGGAAACCGAGUGUUAAUAGCGCGUUCAGGUUUGGGAUAAGACCCGAAGCCGGGUGAGCUACCCAUGAGCAGGAUGAACUCCGAUGAAAAUCGGAGGGAGGUCCGAACCGAUAAGCCGUGCAAAACUUUCGGAUGACUUGUGGGUUGGAGUGAAAAGCUAAUCGAACCCGGUAAUAGCUGGUUCUCUCCGAAAUAGCUUUCGGGCUAGCGUCGAGUGAUACCUUUGGGGGUAGAGCUACUGGAUGGAUAGAAUAGGGAGAAAUCUCGUCUGUCUAAUCAAACUCCGAAUACCAAAGAUUUUAACUCGGCAGUCAGACUACGGGGGCAAAGCUCCGUCGGUCAAAAGGGAAACAGCCCAGAUCUCAAGUUAAGGUCCCUAAAUUCAUGCUAAGUGCGUCUUAAGGAGGUUAGAUUUCUCCGACAAUGAGGAGGUUGGCUUAGAAGCAGCCAUCCUUUAAAGAAAGCGUAACAGCUCACUCAUCGAGAGAUUUUGCGCCGCAGAUAAUCGGGGCUAAGCAUGGUACCGAAGCUGAGGACUCUUUCUGAUUUCGAUCAGAAGGAUUGGUAGGAGAGUGUUCCACACCGCGUUGAAGUUCUAGCCGCGAGGCGGAAUGGAGUGUGUGGAAGUAAGAAUGUUGGCACAAGUAACCACAAGUCCGAUGAAAAAUCGGACCGCCGAAAGACUAAGGUUUCCUUGGUAAUGUUAAUCAGCCAAGGGUUAGUCGGUCCUAAGGGGAUGGCGAAAGCCGCACCUAAUGGAUACACGGUUAAUAUUCCGUGACUUCCAUGCUUUUCGAUGGAGUGACGGAGGAAAUAAACGCAAGUACUUUAUUGGAUUAGUACUCCUUGCGAGAGAAGUGUUCGCCAUGCAAAUCAGGCGGACUGAUUUAAUUCAAACUUCAUUCGUCGGGAAAACUUUGUUCGUUCGCGGACAGGGAAUUUGCGUGAAGAGCCUCCCUAGAAAAACUUCUAAGAAUAAAAGCAUGGGAACCGUACCGCAAACCGACACAGGUAGUCAGGUCGAGAAGACCAAGGCGAACGAGUGAGAAGUCCCCAAGGAACUCGGCAAAAAAGCGACCGUAACUUAGGGAUAAGGUCUUCCCGCACAUAACUUACCAAAUAACUUUUAAAGUUAAACAUGUUUUAUUUCGUAGAACAUUUAUUUAAUAAAAAAGAUUGUUUGUUGAGUUAUGUGCGGGACGCAGCGAAAGUAUCUCUGGCGACUGUUUAUCAAAAACACAGCUCCCUGCGAACUCGUAAGAGGAUGUAUAGGGGGUGACGCCUGACCAAUGCCAGAAGGUUAAAAUAUGUCGGUUUGGGUCGCAAGAUUCAAGCUGAACGUAUUAAGCCCUGGUGAAUGUCGGCAAUAACUAUAAUUGUCCUAAGGUAGCGAAAUACCUUGUCGGGUAGGAAACUGCCCAUCCCGAUGGUGAAGUUCCGACGCGCAUGAAUGGCGUAACGACCAGAGAACUGUCUCGGGGACUCGCUCGGUGAAAAUACAAUACCGGUGAAGAUGCCGGUUACCCACAGUUAGACGAAAAGACCCCGUGAAGCUUUACUACAACUUGAUAUUGAGCGUGUUUUUUUGUUGCGUAGAAUAGAUGGGAGACUUUGAAGUUUCGAUUCCGGUCGGAAUGGAGUCAUCAGUGCAAUACCAUCCUUUAGAGAGGCACGUUCUAACCAGUACGGCAAAAACGGACUGGAACAGUAUCUGGUGGGUAGUUUGUUUGGGGCGAAUCCCUCCUAAAAAGUAACGGAGGGGUCUACCAAGGUUCCCUAGGCGCGAAUGGAAACCGUGCCGAUAGCGUAAUGGCAUAAGGGAGCUUAACUGCGAGGCGUACAUGCCGAGCAGAUGCGAAAGCAGAGCAUAGUGAACCGACCACUCGCAUUAGACGCGGUGGAAGAUUAUCGGACAAAAGCUACUCCGGGGAUAACAGGCUAGUUCCGCCCAAGAGUUCAAAUCGACGGCGGAGUUCGGCACCU